rnacentral:tRNA from 1 species
GGAUGGGUGGCCGAGUGGUCUAAGGCGGCAGUCUUGAAAACUGCUGAGGGCUUGCGUCCUCCGGGGGUUCGAAUCCUCUCCCAUCCG